rnacentral:rRNA from 1 species
AUUGAACGCUGGCGGCAGGCUUAACACAUGCAAGUCGACCGAGUGGCGGACGGGUGAGUAAUGCUUGGGAAUCUAGCUUAUGGAGGGGGAUCACUACGGGAAACUGUAGCUAAUACCGCGUACCAUAGGAUUAGCCCAAGUGGGAUUAGGUAGGUGGUGAGGUAAAGGCUCACCAAGCCGACGAUCUCUAGCUGGUCUGAGAGGAUGACCAGCCACACUGGGACGGAGACACGGCCCAGAGUGCUACGGGAGCCAGCAGUGGGGAAUAUGGCGGAAGGGGGGCAGACUGACGCAGACAUGCCGCGUGAAUGAAGAAGGCCUUCGGGUUGUAAAGUUAUGUCGGUAGCGAGGCGUUAACUACAGAAGAAGCACCGGCUAACUCCGUGCCAGCAGCCGCGGUAAUAC